GGCAAACUUCAUGAUAUGGGUUGUCCGCCUUAUAUGAGGCAUUAAGCGGUUAUUAUUUUCCAUUUACCUUUACCGAACCGACUAAUGUUGAAAAAUUAGCGGAUGACUUGUGGCUGGGGGUGAAAGGCAAAUCAAACCGGGAGAUAGCUGGUUCUCCCCGAAAGCUAUUUAGGUAGCGCCUCGUGAAUAAUGGAAAUAUCAAACGUCCCGCCACCGAGGUCAUAAACAGCGAUC
rnacentral:rRNA from 1 species